rnacentral:lncRNA from 1 species
UUCAGGUACAUGUAGGUCAGUAUUAAACUCGGCAUAGGCUAAACGUGCACAACGUGCCGAAUAUACAUGCUGGUUAAAUUUCAUGGAUUUUUCAACCACAAAAACAAUUGUGAGUAUCAUUGAAGCCCCAUUACUUCGUCUUUGAUACGUGUGGAAGCCAGUAAAUGAUUUGAAAGAUCAGAGCCUUCAUGUCAAAUUAGACAUGAUUUUGGACAACCAAAAAGAGGAGUUGUGCCUCUUGAGGAAAGUGGCCAGGCUCCGAGCUCCUGAUGAUGAGGACAUCGAAGAAUUUACUCCAAAACCUCUGGAAACUGUCGCAGAACUGGAGGACCUAUGUGAAAAGCUGAAUUCUCCUGAAGAGGCCAACUUGAAAUAACAGAUGAUUUGUCACUUUACUUCCAUGGGAGGCUACAACCUUGGCGAGAGUGUCUGCCGCAUGCUACGCAGGCUAGGGACAAAUAUGCUGUGGUCCCUUUACAGCUACAAGGGACGAAAGGGGAAAAGAGCUCUGAGCGAUCUUCAAAUCUCCCGGGUGUUAAUCAAAGCCUGUCUGAGUGCCCACCCAUAAAGCCGAGUCUUGGAAAUUGAAGAAACCAUCCAAGAGACUCUCAAGUACUGCCCAAACCGAAAGGGUGGGGCAAAGUACAAGAAUCCUGAUGCCAACACGAUCGCAACACCAGAUGAGGCCACCACCGACUUUGAUGACUAGCCCAACUGAAAAUGAUUGGUAACAACACCCCCCCCCCCC